rnacentral:rRNA from 1 species
GAUGAACGCUGGCGGCGUGCCUAAUACAUGCAAGUCGAGCGAACAGACGAGGAGCUUGCUCCUCUGACGUUAGCGGCGGACGGGUGAGUAACACGUGGAUAACCUACCUAUAAGACUGGGAUAACUUCGGGAAACCGGAGCUAAUACCGGAUAAUAUAUUGAACCGCAUGGUUCAAUAGUGAAAGAUGGUUUUGCUGUCACUUAUAGAUGGAUCCGCGCCGCAUUAGCUAGUUGGUAAGGUAACGGCUUACCAAGGCAAUGAUGCGUAGCCGACCUGAGAGGGUGAUCGGCCACACUGGAACUGAGACACGGUCCAGACUCCUACGGGAGGCAGCAGUAGGGAAUCUUCCGCAAUGGGCGAAAGCCUGACGGAGCAACGCCGCGUGAGUGAUGAAGGUCUUCGGAUCGUAAAACUCUGUUAUUAGGGAAGAACAAAUGUGUAAGUAACUAUGCACGUCUUGACGGUACCUAAUCAGAAAGCCACGGCUAACUACGUG